rnacentral:rRNA from 1 species
AACGAACGCUGGCGGCAUGCCUAACACAUGCAAGUCGAACGAGACCUUCGGGUCUAGUGGCGCACGGGUGCGUAACGCGUGGGAACCUGCCCUUAGGUUCGGAAUAACUCCCCGAAAGGGGUGCUAAUACCGGAUAAUGUCUUCGGACCAAAGAUUUAUCGCCUUUGGAUGGGCCCGCGUUGGAUUAGCUAGUUGGUAGGGUAAAAGCCUACUAAGGCGACGAUCCAUAGCUGGUCUGAGAGGAUGAUCAGCCACACUGGGACUGGGACACGGCCCAGACUCCUACGGGAGGCAGCAGUGGGGAAUAUUGGACAAUGGGCGAAAGCCUGAUCCAGCAAUGCCGCGUGAGUGAUGAAGGCCUUAGGGUUGUAAAGCUCUUUUACCCGGGAUGAUAAUGACAGUACCGGGAGAAUAAGCUCCGGCUAACUCCGUG